rnacentral:sRNA from 1 species
UGAUAUACUGGAUGAACAACGUGGCGG